CAGAAACCUCUCAUCUCUCUACUUUAUUAACAGAUCAGUUAAGAAUUUUAAACCAUAGAGGAAAACAAUUAAUAGCAUAUGCAACGGAAAUAGAAGGCACAUCAAUUAGAUACCAAAUCAUAAGUACAUUAAACUCAAACAGAUUCCGUGCAUCAUAAUGGUUUGUUCUCUUCCUUACAAUUCCUUUUUCUUCUUGUCAGAUUCACAUUUUUUGGUAUGUUGUUUUUGAUCCAAGACUGCUGUUCACUGCUCAGUAAGACGAAGCUCCAAAUGUGAGAUCUGCUUGAAUAGGAGAAGCACAGGCAUUGAAGGAUUUGCAAAAAGAGGCUGCUCCAAAUCCUAAAGUCCAUCUGAUGAGUAGAAAAGUGAGAACACCAAAGGACAGAUACUACUAGAAGUAUUCAAGCCCAACUCAUUAGUUACCACAAAGCAAUGAAAGUUUCAGGUGCCUUGACUCCACUAACUUAACAUAUAACUUUUAUCCUGUAAGCUUUUGAUAUACGACAGACAAACAAAUUUUAGUGGGACAAAAGUUACAAUGAAUAGUUCAUCACUUCGUUGGAGACUCCAAGCAAAAAUAAUCGACUAGAAAUUGCUUCACAAUCACAUUAUGCAAUGGCAAUAGCAAGGUUUUAAGUGCCCAUCGACACAGGUCGUGCCCACUGUGUAAUACCAUGCUAACAAAAUAUUGGCAUGAUACGAUCCCCAUGUCAAUAGCACAACACAAUAUCCUCUUUUCUUUGAAAUUAGCAAGUAUUGUUUCAAUACAGUGCAAAUAAUUUGAUGAAGAUACAUAAUAAGUAAUUAGAAUAUACUGAUGCUAAAGAAAAUAAAUACUUUAUGUCUUAUUGCGUCGACAAACAGGUAUUUCUGUGACCGGCGCACAUUGGUAUGGCACAACAAGCACCGUGUCAUACCCUGCCAACAAGUUUCCCAUACGACCCCGUGCCAUGGCACUAAAAUCCUUGGGCAAUAGAAAGUACAAAUAACAUGGACACAGAGAUAAACAUUGUUGACUAUUUUUUUAUAAUUUUAUAAUUUUUGCAUUAUGUCGGGGACCUUAUUGUAAAACUCUUAAUAUAUAAAUAUAUCUCUUUGAGAUCAUGGAGGUGAGAACCCUAAUCCAAUUUAAACAUCAGUUUCAUUAUGGUAUCGAAGCCAAACCAAAUUUAGGGUUUUUCGAAAAAUAGGGAUAAGGCCCAAUCGGUUCUUCCUUCUUCCAAUUAGACCUCUACAAGCCUACAGUCAUCCAUCUCUUCUUGGUGCUAUUCCUCGUCUCCACAUCAUUCUUCUCUGCUUCACCCUUUCCCUACACUACUUCGCUUAGAUCUUGAUCAGGCAUUUCACCUUUUGUGGCUGUUACAAUACUACCAACCUUAAUAUUUGAGACAAGUUACCUACUUUUGCUACAAAACGAAUGAAGGUUUGGUAAAUGCAUCAAUAGGAUCUGAAUAAUUCUUUCCUGUUACUGUUAUAUUGCUGGUUGCAUCUUUUAUGCACUCAAGAUGUCAAAAGUUAACUCUGAUAACAAUUCUAAUAGAGUUAACACAACGCCGAAGACAAAAAUCAUGGUGAACGAUAGUCCCCCUGCAAAUUAGCCCUAUUAAACUAGGUGGACAAAAUUAUUUGUCAUUGUAUUUAUCCUGUUUAUUGUUUAUUAAAGCUAGGGGGCCUCAUGAUUACAUUACAGGUAGACGAAACAUGCCGCCAGAGGAAGAUUCUACAUCUAGUCAAUGGGAAUCGGAAAAUUCAUUGAUCAUGUCAUGACUAUUAAAGUCAAUGGAACCAGCAAUUGCACAAGGCUUUCUUUUUUUGGAUUCUACCUACAAAAUCUGGACUGCAGUGGCUCAAACUUAUUCUAAGAAAGGAAAAAAUGCACUAGUAUAUGAGCUCAGAAAAAAAUGCAUGAAACAAAGCAGGGAGAUGGAACUGUUGCUCAAUACAUUGCAGAGCUUAGCAGUUUAUGGCAGGAAUUAGAUUAUUGUCAUGAUUUUCAAGCUAAAUGCCCUGAUGAUGCAGCAAUGUUUCAAAAACAGAUCGAGAGUUUUUAUGACUUCCUUGCUGGCUUACAAGUAGAAUUUGAUCCAAUAAGAGUUCAAGUGCGUGGAAGAGAUCUGUUCCCUUUACUAAAGGAGGCCUAUGCUUAUGUUCAACAAGAAGAAAGCAGAGGGAAUGCUAUGAUCUAUCAACUAACUUUUGAGAAAUCUGCAUUGUCCUGAGCUGCAUCAAGUAGAACUAUGAAAAGCAUUCAAAAUAAAGUGAUCUCAUAGAUAAAGAAAGGAAGUGAUCUCAUAGAUAAAGAUAAUCUUAAGUGUCACCAUUGUGAACAAAGCAGGAACACCAAGGAGACAUGUUAGAAGUGGCAUGGACGUCCUAUGAGAGGAAGAGUAAGAAGAAGUGGAAGCGGCCGAGGCUAUGGGAGAUCACAAGCAUACCAAGCGGAAGGCCCCGACACACUACAUUCGGAAGGAGCUCACAUGGAGUGUAAAGGCCUAUCUCAUGAAGAACUUCUAACACUUCGCCGACUCAUGAUAAAGCUUUGAUUCAACUGAAGCUAACUCCAAUUUUAUUCAUCCACUACUGCUACAUUCACCUCUAACUUUGCUCUCUCAGAUACUAUUGCUAAUGCAUUGCUUAGUAACAAUACUAGUUCUCAAUAUUGGAUCAUUGAUUCCGGUGCCUCCGACCAUAUGACUGGUGCAUCAAAUCAUUUCCCAUCUUACUUUCCUUCCUCAGACAAAGAUAAAGUUCAUAUUGCUUAUGGUUUUAUGUCAACAAUUUCUGGAAAAGGUUCUAUUGUUUGCAAUUCUAGUUUAGCCCUAACUUAUGUUCUACAUGUUCCCUCUUUUCCAACCAAUCUUCUCUCCAAUAGAGCUAUUACCAGGGACUUGAAUUGUAAAGUUAUUUUCUUUCCUUCCUAUUGUGGUUUCAGGAACUAGGGACAAGGAGAACGAUUGGCUAUGGUAGAGUGCAUGACAAGCUUUAUCUUCUGGAGGGAGGACCGAGAUUAUAUGCUGGACAGAAUUUUUGUUUUUUAAACCGGAUUAAGUAGUACUUGUCAAGAGGCAUAUUUGUGGCAUCUUAGGUUAUGACACUUAUCUUUUCGAAUAAUGGAAAACAUGUUUCCGAAAUUUUUUGAGAAAUGUGACUCAAAACAGUUGACAUGUGAUGCAUUUGAAUUUGCAAAA